rnacentral:rRNA from 1 species
GUGGGGAAUAUUGGACAAUGGGCGCAAGCCUGAUCCAGCAAUGCCGCGUGUGUGAAGAAGGCCUGAGGGUUGUAAAGCACUUUCAGUGGGGAGGAAAGACCCAAAGUUAAUAUCUUUGGGAGUUGACGUUACCCACAGAAGAAGCACCGGCUAACUCUGUGCCAGCAGCCGCGGUAAUACAGAGGGUGCAAGCGUUAAUCGGAGUUACUGGGCGUAAAGCGUGCGUAGGUGGAAACUCAAGUCGGGUGUGAAAGCCCCGGGCUCAACCUGGGAACUGCAUUCGAUACUGGGUUACUAGAGUAUGGUAGAGGAAAGUGGAAUUUCCGGUGUAGCGGUGAAAUGCGUAGAUAUCGGAAAGAACAUCAGUGGCGAAGGCGACUUUCUGGACCAAUACUGACACUGAGGCACGAAAGCGUGGGGAGCAAACAGG